AAUUUGAUCUUUGUUGGGGGUGGCUUUUCUGCACAUCCUCCUGGAAGUGGCCCUCAGCAGUUGAGAUAGCACUUGGACCACGCCUGAGUUCUUCAAGGAAGGAUGUGCCUGCGGUUGCCUCCACCUGGGGUGGCCUUGGCCUGAGCCUUGGUGGUGUUGAGCUGGUGAGGACACUCAUCCUUCUUCCUGGGGCUAAUGGGUCUUCUUUUCUAUGCAGAGCCUCAGUUCUCCAGCAUUGGAUUCUAGCGGGGCCAAGUGGAAGGAACUCUUGGCUGUUGCUUCCUGCUGGGCCGUGGAUCCCAUAACAAGGAGAGGAGCUCGCAGAAGAGGACGCUAAUGAGGCAGAGCUCUUAAUUG
rnacentral:lncRNA from 1 species